CAAAAGUACAAAUAAUAAAAAAUGAUGAAAAAACCUUAACUCGUCCGAUGACAGAGCCUGUAUAGUAAAUGCGCGAUGUGUGCCAAAACUUGUAUGAUAGUUAAAAUUAUCCCUUAAAUACAAUAAAUAUACAUGUAUUCGCAGUUUACUAUGAAGUCCACUAUCACUGAACUAGUAUACAUAUUUAUUAAGGGGCCAGCUAAAGGACGCCACGCGAUGCGGGAGUUUCUCGCUUCAUUGAAGACCCAUUGUGGCCUUCGGCUGUUUUCUGCUCUAUGGUCGGGUUGUUGUCGCUU
rnacentral:lncRNA from 1 species